GGGCUUGUAACUCAGCGGUAGAGUGUACACCUGAUAAGCGUAAAGUCGAUCGUUCAAUUCGAUCCAGGCCCA
rnacentral:tRNA from 2 species